rnacentral:rRNA from 1 species
CUAUACAUGACUCUGCGCAUAUCAAUAAGCGGAGGAAAAGAAACUAACUAAGGAUUCCCUUAGUAACGGCGAGUGAAGCGGGAAGAGCUCAAAUUUGAAAUCUUCAAGGGUUCUACCUUUACGAAUUGUAGUUUAUAAGAAGUGUUUUCUGUUAGUGGAGUGGCAAAAGUUCUUUGGAAUAGGACAUCAUAGAGGGUGAGAAUCCCGUAUUUGGUCAUUCUUUCUAGCUUUGUGAUACACUUUCAACGAGUCGGAUUGUUUGGGAAUGCAGUCCAAAAUGGGUGGUAAAUUUCAUCUAAAGCUAAAUAUUGGCGAGAGACCGAUAGCGAACAAGUACCGUGAGGGAAAGAUGAAAAGAACUUUGAAAAGAGAGUUAAACAGUACGUGAAAUUGUCAAAAGGGAAGCGUUUGACACCAGUGUUGUUUUUCCGAAAAUCAAUUACGAAUGUUUUAUUUUUGAGAAGUUAUGACUUCAUCGGCUUGCUUCUCUCUUUAUGAAACUUUCUUAAUGCACUUUUCGGUUAACAAGUCAACAUCAAUUUCUUUUGUUGUAAAAGGGUAUGAGGAAGGUGGCUUUCUUUUCGGAGAAAGUGUUUAUAGCCUUGUGCCUCUGCAAUCGGAGAGAUUGAGGUCUGCAGCGUAGAUCCUUCGGGGUUAGAUACGUUUGUGCUAAGUUAUAGCUUUUCAUAGACAACUUGUUGACUAUGUUUAGUCUUGUAGCUUACUCGCAGACGCUAUUUUACCUACGCUUAGGAUGUUGAUAGUCACAGCGUGUAC